rnacentral:misc_RNA from 1 species
AGACUCAGUAAUGGAGCAGAACAUUACUUAUCUUUGAUUAAGUUAAAAGUACGGUUUUGUUCCUCACCCUAUGUAAAGCCAAUAUUCUUUUUAACAAUCUCAGUCAAGGGUGCAGCUAAAGUACUGAAAUCCUUAACAAACCUUCUAUAAAAACUAGCUAAACCAUGAAAACUACGUACCUCAGUAAUAGAUGUAGGAAUCGGCCAGUCAUGGAUAUUUUUCACCUUCUUUUCAUCCACCUCGAUACCUUUUGCACUAAUCAC